GAUGAACGCUGGCGGCGUGCCUAAUACAUGCAAGUCGAGCGAACGGACGAGAAGCUUGCUUCUCUGAUGUUAGCGGCGGACGGGUGAGUAACACGUGGAUAACCUACCUAUAAGACUGGGAUAACUUCGGGAAACCGGAGCUAAUACCGGAUAAUAUUUUGAACCGCAUGGUUCAAAAGUGAAAGACGGUCUUGCUGUCACUUAUAGAUGGAUCCGCGCUGCAUUAGCUAGUUGGUAAGGUAACGGCUUACCAAGGCAACGAUGCAUAGCCGACCUGAGAGGGUGAUCGGCCACACUGGAACUGUGACACGGUCCAGACUCCUACGGGAGGCAGCAGUAGGGAAUCUUCCGCAAUGGGCGAAAGCCUGACGGAGCAACGCCGCGUGAGUGAUGAAGGUCUUCGGAUCGUAAAACUCUGUUAUUAGGGAAGAACAUAUGUGUAAGUAACUGUGCACAUCUUGACGGUACCUAAUUAGAAAGCCACGGCUAACUACGUG
rnacentral:rRNA from 1 species